UUCAUGAGCCUGAACAGCCCUAAGAAGCACUUGCUGCAAUAGUCCAUUGUGCAGGCAGGAGAGAGACAGGCCCUGACAGGCACAAUGACUUAUCCAGGAUCAAGAAGAGUUAUCGGGGCUCUGGUUCCCGAAGACCCUGCAGGGAGAGUUGUUCCAGACUCUGUAGACGGUUCAACACUCGUGCCCGACAUCUCUGGCCGUUUUCAAGAAGAUCCCCUCAGAGCUCCUCAAAGGAGACUGGACCGGAGCCGACAGAUGGGGUCCUCAACUCCAUGCCCCUGCAGGAGGCACAGAUACCUG